UAUACGACCGUACCGCAAACCGACACUGGUGCGCGAGAUGAGUAUUCUAAGGCGCUUGAGAGAACUCAGGAGAAGGAACUCGGCAAAUUGACACCGUAACUUCGGAAGAAGGUGUGCCCUAUUAGUGUGUAGUGAACAACGAAGCAUGAAUGGGUUGCAAAAAAUCGGUGGCUGCGACUGUUUAUUAAAAACACAGCACUCUGCAAACACGAAAGUGGACGUAUAGGGUGUGACGCCUGCCCGGUGCUGGAAGAUUAAAUGAUGGGGUGCAAGCUCUUGAUUGAAGUCCCAGUAAACGGCGGCCGUAACGAUAACGGUCCUAAGGUAGCGAAAUUCCUUGUCGGGUAAGUUCCGACCUGCACGAAUGGCGUAACGAUGGCCACACUGUCUCCUCCUGAGACUCAGCGAAGUUGAAAUGUUUGUGAUGAUGCAAUCUCCCCGCGGAAAGACGGAAAGACCCCAUGAACCUUUACUGUAGCUUUGUAUUGGACUUUGAACAGAUCUGUGUAGGAUAGGUGGGAGGCUUUGAAGCAGGGUCGCUAGAUCUUGUGGAGCCAACGUUGAAAUACCACCCUGGUGUGUUUGAGGUUCUAAUCUAGGUCCAUUAUCUGGAUCGGGGACAGUGCAUGGUAGGCAGUUUGACUGGGGCGGUCUCCUCCCAAAGCGUAACGGAGGAGUUCGAAGGUACGCUAGUUACGGUCGGACAUCGUGACGAUAGUGCAAUGGCAUAAGCGUGCUUAACUGCGAGACUGACAAGUCGAGCAGAUGCGAAAGCAGGACAUAGUGAUCCGGUGGUUCUGUAUGGAAGGGCCAUCGCUCAACGGAUAAAAGGUACUCUGGGGAUAACAGGCUGAUACCGCCCAAGAGUUCAUAUCGACGGCGGUGUUUGGCACCUCGAUGUCGGCUCAUCUCAUCCUGGGGCUGUAGCCGGUCCCAAGGGUAUGGCUGUUCGCCAUUUAAAGAGGUACGUGAGCUGGGUUUAAAACGUCGUGAGACAGUUUGGUCCCUAUCUUCCGUGGGCGCUGCAGAUUUGAGGAAGCCUGCUCCUAGUACGAGAGGACCGGAGUGGACACACCUCUGGUGUAUCGGUUGUCACGCCAGUGGCAUUGCCGAGUAGCUAAGUGUGGAAGAGAUAACCGCUGAAAGCAUCUAAGCGGGAAACUCGUUUCAAGAUGAGAUCUGCCGGGGCCUUGAGCCCCCUAAAGAGUCGUUCAAGACCAGGACGUUGAUAGGUCAGGUGUGGAAGCGAAAAA
rnacentral:rRNA from 1 species